CAAGUACUGCACGUGGACUCUAGGGAUUGAUUUGUUCUAUUCUUUCUCAUAUUAUUAUAUUGCGGGUUCGUGAAUCCAUCAAUAGGAUGCGGAUCUGUGAGGUCAACUACUGAAUUUCGCAUGCAGGUCAUGUAAAGCUCUUCUCUUGGUGUAGUAGUUGAUUUCUUUGCUGAAAUUUAUAGUCCUUCAGUGGUGGCCUUUUCAUCACUGGUGGUCCAUGCUUAGUUCCGACGCCGGAUGCAAAAUAAGAUGGAGUUCGGAUCUUGUGCGUUCUCUUGCUGCUCUCAGGAGACACACCGUCGUUCUCCCUGCGGACGACGACGAGGAUUCUGAUCUCCAGAUUGCGGUUGCCCGUCGACUGGACUGCAGGCAUGGCCCUCCCCAAUCUCCAGACUGCAGUUGCCCCUCCACUGGACUGCAUUGUUGAUCUGUUUCCCUGUCAGAAUACUGGAGAAGGAAGAGUUGCAUGGCUGGGAAAUAGAUUCUUCGUUUGUGAAUUCCAUCCCAACCUAUCAACUAGCAAGGAGCUGUUUGCUAAACUUAAGGUGGCCUAGGACAAAUUCUCAAUAAUAAUGGUGUUCGUGUACAAUAAGAGCUUACUGCCUCCUGUUUAGAAGUAAAUUCUCAGAUUUUUGUCUUCAUUUAAAUCAUUUAUAUAUUGUCUUUUCAUUGUUUACUGAACUCUUUUUUAUUAACAUUUCAUAGAUAUUACAUGAUCAACUAAAUUUGUGGCAAGGUUAUAUAAGGAGAAUGAGUAUGGAACAACAUCGCCAGCCUGCAUGCAGAUUUGCAAUCUGCUCUAACACGUUAAAUUGUUGGACACAUUCUAUCGAAUAAAAUUACACAAGUGGAUAUGUUAACUGGAAACAAGUAUUUUGGGCAUCACCAUGGUGGGUGAUUUUCUCUUGCAUUGGUUUUGGCACUUAGAAUCCUCCAGAUGGUUAGGAAAACUCCUGCAGGACCUAGGCAUGGCUGUUUUGUUAUUAUUUCAGCUAGGUUAGAUGUUUGGGUCCUCAUGUUGCGCAAUUUCGAGGUCGGUAUAAUUAUUGGUUUGGCUGUAUUUUUUUUUACCUCUUUUACUAAGUUCUAAGUAUCUUAUAUGGCCAUCCUUUUACUUCCAGAUUCUGAUAGUACCAGCUGGAGAUGGAUCUGAUAUGGCAUGGGACCUGGUCCGUAAAACUGCCGAUGUUCUGGUUGCCAAAAUUUACCUUGAUGUGCCUACGGAAAUAUCGGGUUUAGUUGGCAGGAAUUAUUUCGAGAGGGAGAAUAUUUGUUUUUAUGUCCUUCAGUUUUAUCCUGAGGGAAGCUCUUUCUUUGUUGGGUUCGAUGCAACAUUGUUGUCUAUGGGCAAGGGAGUUGUACGCCGGUUCGGUCGGUUGGCAGCCUGGUGAG